rnacentral:rRNA from 1 species
GUGGGGAAUAUUGCACAAUGGGCGAAAGCCUGAUGCAGCGACGCCGCGUGCGGGAUGAAGGCCUUCGGGUUGUAAACCGCUUUUGAUUGGGAGCAAGCGAGAGUGAGUGUACCUUUCGAAUAAGCACCGGCUAACUACGUGCCAGCAGCCGCGGUAAUACGUAGGGUGCAAGCGUUAUCCGGAAUUAUUGGGCGUAAAGAGCUCGUAGGCGGUUUGUCGCGUCUGGUGUGAAAGUCCAUCGCUUAACGGUGGAUCUGCGCCGGGUACGGGCAGGCUAGAGUGCGACAGGGGAGACUGGAAUUCCCGGUGUAACGGUGGAAUGUGUAGAUAUCGGGAAGAACACCAAUGGCGAAGGCAGGUCUCUGGGUCGUCACUGACGCUGAGGAGCGAAAGCGUGGGGAGCGAACAGGAUUAGAUACCCUGGUAGUCCACGCCGUAAACGGUGGAUGCUGGAUGUGGGGCCCAUUCCACGGGUUCCGUG